UACGAAGGGGACUAGCGUUGUUCGGAAUCACUGGGCGUAAAGAGCUUGUAGGCGGUUUGUCGCGUCUGCUGUGAAAUCUCAAGGCUCAACCUUGAGCUUGCAGUGGGUACGGGCAGACUAGAGUGUGGUAGGGGAGACUGGAAUUCCUGGUGUAGCGGUGAAAUGCGCAGAUAUCAGGAGGAACACCGAUGGCGAAGGCAGGUCUCUGGGCCACUACUGACGCUGAGAAGCGAAAGCAUGGGGAGCGAACAGG
rnacentral:rRNA from 1 species